CUACGGGUGGCUGCAGUGGGGAAUAUUGGGCAAUGGGCGCAAGCCUGACCCAGCAACGCCGCGUGAGGGAAGAAGGUUUUCGGAUUGUAAACCUCUGUCCUUGGGGACGAAGAAGUGACGGUACCCAAGGAGGAAGCUCCGGCUAACUACGUGCCAGCAGCCGCGGUAAUACGUAGGGAGCAAGCGUUGUCCGGAAUUACUGGGCGUAAAGGGUGCGUAGGCGGCAUAUUAAGUCAGGUGUGAAAUACUCGGGCUCAACCCGGGGGCUGCAUUUGAAACUGAUAUGCUUGAGUGUGAGAGGGGAAAGUGGAAUUCCUAGUGUAGCGGUGGAAUGCGUAGAUAUUAGGAGGAACACCAGUGGCGAAGGCGACUUUCUGGCUCAUAACUGACGCUGAGGCACGAAAGCGUGGGGAGCAAACAGGAUUAGAUACCCGUGUAGUC
rnacentral:rRNA from 1 species